rnacentral:rRNA from 1 species
AUGGCGGCGGGAUUGCUGCUGCCGCAGGCGGCCAGGCUCUGCUUCUGCGUCUGGGCCGUCGCCGUCCUCUCGCUCGCCGGCUCCUCGGCCGCCGUGAACGGCACGAGCGCGGUCAGCGAGGCGGUGGUGGUGGACGCGCGGGCCGCCGUGGCGGAGACGGACUCGGCGUUCGUGUGCGCGACAUUGGACUGGUGGCCGCCGGAGAAGUGCGACUACGGCACCUGCGCCUGGGGCCGCGCCGGCCUCCUCAACCUGGACCUGUCCAGCAAGAUCCUGCAGAACGCCGUGAAAGCCUUCUCCCCUCUCCGGCUACGGCUCGGCGGCUCCCUGCAGGACCUGGUGGUCUACGGCACCGGCGACACCGGUGCGCCCUGCUCUCCCUUCACCAAGAACACGUCGGCCAUGUUCGGGUUCACGCAGGGCUGCCUGCCCAUGCACCGGUGGGAUGAGCUCAACGCCUUCUUCCAGAAAUCCGGUGCACAGAUUGUCUUUGGGCUGAAUGCGCUGAAUGGCCGGGUCCCAAUGCCUGAUGGCUCCAUGGGAGGGCCAUGGGAUUACACCAAUGCUGCCUCUUUCAUCCACUACACUGUCAGCAAGGGAUAUGAUAUCUAUGGCUGGGAGCUUGGAAACGAACUCAGUGGCAGUGGAGUUGGGACUCGGGUCGGUGCAGAUCAGUAUGCCGCGGAUGUGAUCAACCUGAACCAAGUCGUUGACAAAGCAUACCAAGGAUCAAAACCGCUGGUGAUCGCGCCGGGAGGCUUCUUCGACGCGGGUUGGUUCACCGAGCUGGUAGCCAAAACAAAGCCGAACCAGAUGGAUGUGAUAACUCACCAUAUCUACAAUUUAGGCCCCGGUGUCGACACGCAUCUCGUUGAGAAAAUUCUCAACCCCUCUUACCUUGAUAAUAUGGUAAGCACGUUCAGUAACCUUCAGGGGAUACUGAAGUCCGCAGGGACAUCCACCACCGCGUGGGUCGGCGAAGCUGGAGGGGCUUACAACAGUGGCCACCACCUUGUAACUGAUGCAUUUGUGUUCAGUUUCUGGUACCUGGAUCAACUCGGGAUGUCCGCCAAGUACGACACAAAGAGUUAUUGCAGGCAAACCUUGGUUGGAGGGAAUUACGGCCUGCUCAACACAACAACAUUUGAACCAAAUCCUGAUUACUACAGUGCUCUGCUAUGGCAUCGCCUCAUGGGAACCAAGGUUCUCUCCACGACAUUCAACGGCACAAACAAGAUCCGUGCUUAUACACAUUGCUCAAAAGAUUCGGAAGGGAUCACCCUACUCCUGAUCAACCUCAGUGGCAACAACACAAACCACAUCUAUGUGAACAGCGAGGGCGCCCAAGAGUUCGCGCAUCCCCACGGCGCAAAGGAGCACAGAAGGUCCAUUCCGAAGCUCGGCGAAACAGCUGGGCUCACAAGGCAGGAAUACCACCUCACCGCCAAAGAUGGGAACCUGCAGAGCCAACAUAUGCUGCUCAAUGGCAAUGUGCUGGCAACUGGUGCCAAUGGAGCCAUCCCCAAGCUGGAGCCUGUGCAGGUUGAGGGAACAGAGCCCAUAACCGUGGCCCCUUACUCCAUUGUCUUUGCUCAUAUUCCAGGCUUUUAUGCUCCUGCAUGUAGGUAA